GCCUAACACAUGCAAGUCGAACGGUAACAGGAAUCAGCUUGCUGCUUUGCUGACGAGUGGCGGACGGGUGAGUAAUGUCUGGGAAACUGCCUGAUGGAGGGGGAUAACUACUGGAAACGGUAGCUAAUACCGCAUAACGUCGCAAGACCAAAGAGGGGGACCUUCGGGCCUCCUGCCAUCGGAUGUGCCCAGAUGGGAUUAGCUAGUAGGUGGGGUAAAGGCUCACCUAGGCGACGAUCCCUAGCUGGUCUGAGAGGAUGACCAGCCACACUGGAACUGAGACACGGUCCAGACUCCUACGGGAGGCAGCAGUGGGGAAUAUUGCACAAUGGGCGCAAGCCUGAUGCAGCCAUGCCGCGUGUAUGAAGAAGGCCUUCGGGUUGUAAAGUACUUUCAGCGGGGAGGAAGGGAGUAAAGUUAAUACCUUUGCUCAUUGACGUUACCCGCAGAAGAAGCACCGGCUAACUCCGUGCCAGCAGCCGCGGUAAUACGGAGGGUGCAAGCGUUAAUCGGAAUUACUGGGCGUAAAGCGCACGCAGGCGGUUUGUUAAGUCAGAUGUGAAAUCCCCGGGCUCAACCUGGGAACUGCAUCUGAUACUGGCAAGCUUGAGUCUCGUAGAGGGGGGUAGAAUUCCAGGUGUAGCGGUGAAAUGCGUAAAGAUCUGGAGGAAUACCGGUGGCGAAGGCGGCCCCCUGGACGAAGACUGACGCUCAGGUGCGAAAGCGUGGGGAGCAAACAGGAUUAGAUACCCUGGUAGUCCACGCCGUAAACGAUGUCGACUUGGAGGUUGUGCCCUUGAGGCGUGGCUUCCGGAGCUAACGCGUUAAGUCGACCGCCUGGGGAGUACGGCCGCAAGGUUAAAACUCAAAUGAAUUGACGGGGGCCCGCACAAGCGGUGGAGCAUGUGGUUUAAUUCGAUGCAACGCGAAGAACCUUACCUGGUCUUGACAUCCACGGAAGUUUUCAGAGAUGAGAAUGUGCCUUCGGGAACCGUGAGACAGGUGCUGCAUGGCUGUCGUCAGCUCGUGUUGUGAAAUGUUGGGUUAAGUCCCGCAACGAGCGCAACCCUUAUCCUUUGUUGCCAGCGGUCCGGCCGGGAACUCAAAGGAGACUGCCAGUGAUAAACUGGAGGAAGGUGGGGAUGACGUCAAGUCAUCAUGGCCCUUACGACCAGGGCUACACACGUGCUACAAUGGCGCAUACAAAGAGAAGCGACCUCGCGAGAGCAAGCGGACCUCAUAAAGUGCGUCGUAGUCCGGAUUGGAGUCUGCAACUCGACUCCAUGAAGUCGGAAUCGCUAGUAAUCGUGGAUCAGAAUGCCACGGUGAAUACGUUCCCGGGCCUUGUACACACCGCCCGUCACACCAUGGGAGUGGGUUGCAAAAGAAGUAGGUAGCUUAACCUUCGGGAGGGCGCUUACCACUUUGUGAUUCGUGACUGGGGUGAAGUC
rnacentral:rRNA from 1 species